GUAACCUGCCCUUGACUCUGGGAUAAGCCUGGGAAACCGGGUCUAAUACCGGAUAUGACCUGUCACCGCAUGGUGGCGGGUGGAAAGAUUUUUUGGUCUUGGAUGGACUCGCGGCCUAUCAGCUUGUUGGUGGGGUAAUGGCCUACCAAGGCGACGACGGGUAGCCGGCCUGAGAGGGUGACCGGCCACACUGGGACUGAGACACGGCCCAGACUCCUACGGGAGGCAGCAGUGGGGAAUAUUGCACAAUGGGCGCAAGCCUGAUGCAGCGACGCCGCGUGAGGGAUGAAUGCCUUCGGGUUGUAAACCUCUUUCAGCAGGGAAGAAGCGAAAGUGACGGUACCUGCAGAAGAAGCGCCGGCUAACUACGUGCCAGCAGCCGCGGUAAUACGUAGGGCGCAAGCGUUGUCCGGAAUUAUUGGGCGUAAAGAGCUCGUAGGCGGUUUGUCGCGUCUGCUGUGAAAGCCCGGGGCUCAACCCCGGGUCUGCAGUGGGUACGGGCAGACUAGAGUGCAGUAGGGGAGACUGGAAUUCCUGGUGUAGCGGUGAAAUGCGCAGAUAUCAGGAGGAACA
rnacentral:rRNA from 1 species